rnacentral:ncRNA from 1 species
GCAGCGCAUGUUUGACCACGAUGUUGUAAAAGCUCACCCCUUUGAGCCGGGCGGUGCGGAUAUAUUGCGCCGUCAUCACCUCGGCCAUAGAGGCGCGGGUCAUGCGGGCGAUAUAGCCCAUGCCAUAGAGCGCCAGUGCCAUCACCGGCAGGGUGAAGUUGACGAAGGU